UGCCGGGUCGUCUAAUGGUAGGACAGCGGCCUUUGAAGCCGUGAAUCUGGGUUCGAGCCCUAGCCCGGCAG
rnacentral:tRNA from 1 species